GACGAACGCUGGCGGCGUGCUUAACACAUGCAAGUCGAACGGAAAGGCCCUGCGUUUGUGGGGUGCUCGAGUGGCGAACGGGUGAGUAACACGUGAGUAACCUGCCCUUGACUUUGGGAUAACUUCAGGAAACUGGGGCUAAUACCGGAUAGGAGCUCCUGCUGCAUGGUGGGGGUUGGAAAGUUUCGGCGGUUGGGGAUGGACUCGCGGCUUAUCAGCUUGUUGGUGGGGUAGUGGCUUACCAAGGCUUUGACGGGUAGCCGGCCUGAGAGGGUGACCGGCCACAUUGGGACUGAGAUACGGCCCAGACUGCUACGGGAGGCAGCAGUGGGGAAUAUUGCACAGUGGGCGGAAGCCUGAUACAGCAACGCCGCGUGCGGGAUGACGGCCUUCGGGUUGUAAACCGCUUUCGCCUGUGACGAAGCGUGAGUGACGGUAAUGGGUAAAGAAGCACCGGCUAACUAUGUG
rnacentral:rRNA from 1 species